UACGUAGGGUGCGAGCGUUGUCCGGAAUUAUUGGGCGUAAAGAGCUCGUAGGCGGUCUGUCGCGUCGAUCGUGAAAACUUGGGGCUUAACCCUGAGCUUGCGGUCGAUACGGGCAUGACUGGAGUUCGGCAGGGGAGACUGGAAUUCCUGGUGUAGCGGUGAAAUGCGCAGAUAUCAGGAGGAACACCGGUGGCGAAGGCGGGUCUCCGGGCCGUAACUGACGCUGAGGAGCGAAAGCGUGGGGAGCGAACAGG
rnacentral:rRNA from 1 species